rnacentral:piRNA from 1 species
UCUCCUUCACUCGGGUAGAUACGCUGA